rnacentral:tRNA from 1 species
GACCUGUUAGUCAAGGGGUUUAAGACGCCGCAUUCUCAGUGCGGAGGCGCCGGUUCGAAUCCGGCACAGGCUA